rnacentral:ncRNA from 2 species
ACAGUACAAACUGAGCAGGCGAUGAACAUAGGAUUUAUGUUGUUGUGUUCGUGGGGCCGGGCCACUCUUUGGUGGCAGCAGAUGAAUAUUAUUUAAUUAUUAACAUCUGUGGGACAGUA